rnacentral:lncRNA from 1 species
CCAGAGAAUAACACGGCAUUUUUGCGAUCACAUCAGUUUCUACCUCUUCGAAUAGGGAAGUGAGUGUUUCGACAUAUAGAGUUGCGGAAUAGUCUAUUGCUUCUGGAGGUAUAAAUAUCGGAACGGCCCCACGUAUACCCUUGCAUGCAUAUAUACAUAUAUACAUCCAUACUGAAGGGCUUGUGUAGCGAGUUUGCGGAGAAGACAAACCUGUCGUUUUCAGCUCGUAAGUCAGCAAGGAGCCUUUCCAGUGCGUCGACCUUCGAGCUUAGCUCAGCGUGACUCGCUUUGUGUUUUUCUCCUUGGGAGAUGAGCUGGUUGAUUUUUCGCUUGAGCUUUUCAUUUUCGUCAGUGAGGAACCGUGAAUGAUUCUGCGACAAAUGCAGAUCUUGUUCGUAGGUCUGGAUUUCCUUGGCUCUUGAUUCGAGCUCUUCUUGAAGCGUAAGAAGUCGGCUCUUUUGCAGUCGCACUGUCGCAGUUAAACUCUCGAGGUGGUCGCCACCCAAACCAUUGCCGAUAGCGCUGCUCCCUUGUUGAACGAGUCGCUUGUACUCUUCUUCAACUGUCGCUCCAUGCUGUCCCGAAGCGUAAGGAUCCCUCAGUACACUUUCCCUCAGGUGAACUUUCUUUGUCGGCGACCCCGUUACCUCUGUAACAGACGGAUGUUCCUGUCCAUAUCUUUUUAGCGACGCAGAUGGACGAGAGCAGGCGCUCUGCGCUCGCAGUUCGGUUACUCCAUCUGCAGGCUUCCCCGAAAGAGAUACCGGGCUUCUCUCGCCCGAAAUUCCCUCUGUGGAUUGUUGUCUUUGGCACGCAACUGCAGACUUCGGUCGGAGCGAGAUCGUUUUCGAGGGCGCGCCUGUCGCCAAAGAUUUCAGUUCUCUGACUUGCUCUUCUGCAUCGUGCAGAGAUUGGUGUUUCCUUCGUUCCAGUUCCUCAUUUAGUUGGAGGAGUUGUUGCUCCCGUAUUCGGAAGUGUUCAAAAGCCUCGGCGGACAAGCACCCGCAAGAGGCAGAGCUGUCGCGGAGUUCCUUCUCGUUACUCCUGGAUAGGGUUCCUGGGGUAUCCAUAUCUAAGACUUUACGUGAGCAGCAGAAAAUGACAGACAGGAACGCGUGAGAGCGGGAAAAGAAACGCGAGCAAAGCAGGAGAGAAAACAUAUGACCAGCGUGCGCGAAAGCUGCGUGUACCUGCGAAAGAAAGCAGUCACGGGUAAAUAGGAUAGUGCUGAGGAGGGAGGUGGGGAACAGGAAGAGAACAGAAAAACAGGAGAGCCAAGCUCCUGCGAAUACGCGAUUUUCUGCACCCCAACAAGAAAAUGGACAACACGACUGCGCUUGCUGUCCUUAUUUCUACGGCUCCCUGGUGGACGCUGAUCGUGUGUUCUUCAACCAGAACUGGGGGCUUCGAUAUUCUCAGACGGAAAAUCUCUGUCGUGGGACCCCUCGUUGGCAUGC